GCAGGCUAACGCUUGAAUACAUUAGCAUGGAAUAAUGAAAUAGGACAUCGCAUUCUAUUUUGUUGGUUUCUAGGAUCGAUGUAAUGAUUAAUAGGGAUAGUUGGGGGCAUUAGUAUUCAAUUGUCAGAGGUGAAAUUCUUGGAUUUAUUGAAGACUAACUACUGCGAAAGCAUUUGCCAAGGAUGUUUUCAUUAAUCAAGAACGAAAGUUAGGGGAUCGAAGACGACCAGAUACCGUCGUAGUCUUAACCAUAAACUAUGCCGACUAGGGAUCGGAUGAUGUUGAUUUUUUAAUGACUCAUUCGGCACCUUACGGGAAACCAAAGUGUUUGGGUUCCGGGGGGAGUAUGGUCGCAAGGCUGAAACUUAAAGGAAUUGACGGAAGGGCACCACCAGGGGUGGAGCCUGCG
rnacentral:rRNA from 1 species